AAAGCAUGGUGAGGUCAUUUCCUAAGUAUUUCCUUAAAUCUCUCCCAACUCUCAUAAAUUAAUUUUCCUUGAAAUUGGGUUUAAAAAGUGAUAUCAUUUUUGAAAGU